GAUGAACGCUGGCGGCGCGCCUAACACAUGCAAGUCGAAGGAUUAAAGCACCUUCGGGUGUGUAUAAAGUGGCGAACGGCUGAGUAACACGUGGGCAACCUGCCCCUUUCAUUGGGAUAGCCACGGGAAACCGUGGAUAAUACCGAAUACUUCGAGACUUCCGCAUGGAAGACUCGAGAAAGCUCCGGCGGAGAGGGAUGGGCCCGCGGCCUGUUAGCUUGUUGGUGGGGUAACGGCCUACCAAGGCAAUGAUGGGUAGCUGGGUUGAGAGACCGACCAGCCAGAUUGGGACUGAGACACGGCCCAGACUCCUACGGGAGGCAGCAGUGGGGAAUCUUGCACAAUGGGCGAAAGCCUGAUGCAGCGACGCCGCGUGCGGGAUGAAGGCCUUCGGGUUGUAAACCGCUUUCAGCAGGGACGAGGCGAAAGUGACGGUACCUGCAGAAGAAGCCCCGGCUAACUACGUG
rnacentral:rRNA from 1 species